AGAUGUGAAAUCCCCGGGCUCAACCUGGGAACUGCAUUUGUGACUGUAUAGCUAGAGUACGGCAGAGGGGGAUGGAAUUCCGCGUGUAGCAGUGAAAUGCGUAGAUAUGCGGAGGAACACCGAUGGCGAAGGCAAUUCCCUGGGCCUGUACUGACGCUCAUGCACGAAAGCGUGGGGAGCAAACAAGAUUAGAUACCCUGGUAGUCCACGCCCUAAACGAUGUCAACUGGUUGUUGGGUCUUCACUGACUCAGUAACGAAGCUAACGCGUGAAGUUGACCGCCUGGGGAGUACGGCCGCAAGGUUGACACUCAAAGGAAUUGACGGGGACCCGCACAAGCGGGUGGAUGAUGUGGUUUAAUUCGAUGCAACGCGAAAAACCUUACCCACCUUUGACAUGUACGGAAUCCUUUAGAGAUAGAGGAGUGCUCGAAAGAGAGCCGUAACACAGGUGCUGCAUGGCUGUCGUCAGCUCGUGUCGUGAGAUGUUGGGUUAAGUCCCGCAACGAGCGCAACCCUUGCCAUUAGUUGCUACGAAAGGGCACUCUAAUGGGACUGCCGGUGACAAACCGGAGGAAGGUGGGGAUGACGUCAAGUCCUCAUGGCCCUUAUAGGUGGGGCUACACACGUCAUACAAUGGCUGGUACAGAGGGUUGCCAACCCGCGAGGGGGAGCUAAUCCCAUAAAGCCAGUCGUAGC
rnacentral:rRNA from 1 species